GUAACUCCGUGAGUAACUCAGUUACUUUUUGGGAGAAGUAACUAGUAACUAUAACUAAUUACUUUUUCAAAGUAACGUACUCAACACUGGUGUUUCUUAUAGGGCCGGGCAGCUUUGACCAACACAUCCAAUUUCAUCACAUCCUGACUCCAAUUAGCUUAGAAAUAAGAAUUAGCCUAGGGGUUCACAUACUUCCAUCCUGUACAUGUUGUGUUCAAAAAACAUGCAAACAUAUAAUUAAUGUGUGGUAUAAGUUUACGCAAACGAAUUAUCCAACUGAUAUUGAGAUUGAGUGGAGUGUGUUAAGGUGGAAUAGAGUGUGUUCAGAUCGAGUGGAGUGUGUUAAGGUGGAAUAGAGAGUGUUCAGAUCGAGUGGAGUGUGUUAAGGUGGAAUAGAGAGUGUUCAGAUUGAGUGGAGUGUGUUAAGGUGGAAUAGAGUAUGUUCAGAUUGAGUGGAGUGUGUUAAGGUGGAAUAGAGAGUGUUCAGAUUGAGUGGAGUGUGUUCAGGUGGAAUAGAGAGUGUUCAGAUCGAGUGAAGUGUGUUCAGGUGGAAUAGAGAGUGUUCAGAUCGAGUGGAGUGUGUUAAGGUGGAAUAGAGAGUGUUCAGAUCGAGUGGAGUGUGUUAAGGUGGAAUAGAGUGUUCAGAUCGAGUGAAGUGUGUUCAGGUGGAAUAGAGAGUGUUCAGAUCGAGUGAAGUGUGUUAAGGUGGAAUAGAGAGUGUUCAGAUCGAGUGAAGUGUGUUCAGGUGGAAUAGAGAGUGUUUAGAUCGAGUGAAGUGUGUUCAGGUGGAAUAGAGAGUGUUCAGAUCGAGUGGAGCGUGUUCAGGUGGAAUAGAGAGUGUUCAGAUCGAGUGGAGCGUGUUCAGGUGGAAUAGAGAGUGUUCAGAUCGAGUGGAGCGUGUUCAGGUGGAAUAGAGAGUGUUCAGAUCGAGUGGAGUGCGUUCAGGUGGAAUAGAGAGUGUUCAGAUCGAGUGGAGUGCGUUCAGGUGGAAUAGAGAGUGUUCAGAUCGAGUGGAGUGUGUUCAGGUGGAAUAGAGAGUGUUCAGAUCGAGUGGAGUGUGUUCAGGUGGAAUAGAGAGUGUUCAGAUCGAGUGGAGUGUGUUCAGGUGGAAUAGAGAGUGUUCAGAUCGAGUGGAGUGCGUUCAGGUGGAAUAUAGAGUGUUCAGAUCGAGUGGAGUGUGUUAAGGUGGAAUAGAGAGUGUUCAGAUCGAGUGAAGUGUGUUCAGGUGGAAUAGAGAGUGUUCAGAUCGAGUGGAGUGUGUUCAGGUGGAAUAGAGAGUGUUCAGAUCGAGUGGAGCGUGUUCAGGUGGAAUAGAGAGUGUUCAGAUCGAGUGGAGUGUGUUCAGGUGGAAUAGAGAGUGUUCAGAUCGAGUGGAGUGCGUUCAGGUGGAAUAGAGAGUGUUCAGAUCGAGUGGAGUGCGUUCAGGUGGAAUAGAGAGUGUUCAUAUUUAGUGGAGUGUGUUAAGGUGAAAUUGAGAGUGUUCAGAUUUAGUGGAGUGUGUUAAGGUGGAAUAGAGAGUGUUCAGAUCCAGUGAAGUGUGUUCAGGUGGAAUAUAGAGUGUUCAGAUCGAGUGGAGUGUGUUAAGGUGGAAUAGAGAGUGUUCAGAUCGAGUGGAGUGUGUUCAGGUGGAAUAGAGAGUGUUCAGAUCGAGUGGAGUGUGUUCAGGUAGAAUAGAGAGUGUUCAGAUCGAGUGGAGUGCGUUCAGGUGGAAUAGAGAGUGUUCAGAUCGAGUGGAGUGCGUUCAGGUGGAAUAGAGAGUGUUCAGAUCGAGUGGAGUAUGUUCAGGUGGAAUAGAGAGUGUUCAGAUUGAGUGGAGUGCGUUCAGGUGGAAUAGAUAGUGUUCAGAUUGAAUGGAGUGCGUUAAGGUGGAAUAGAGAGUGUUCAGAUCGAGUGGAGUGUGUUAAGGUGGAAUAGAGAGUGUUCAGAUCGAGUGGAGUGUGUUAAUGUGGAAUAGAGAGUGUUCAGAUCGAGUGGAGUAUGUUCAGGUGGAAUAGAGAGUGUUCAGAUUGAGUGGAGUGCGUUCAGGUGGAAUAGAUAGUGUUCAGAUUGAAUGGAGUGCGUUAAGGUGGAAUAGAGAGUGUUCAGAUCGAGUGGAGUGUGUUAAGGUGGAAUAGAGAGUGUUCAGAUCGAGUGGAGUGUGUUAAUGUGGAAUAGAGAGUGUUCAGAUUGAGUGGAGUGUGUUCAGGUGGAAUAGAGAGUGUUCAGAACAAGUGGAGUGUGUUCAGGUGGAAUAGAGUGUUCAGAUUUAGUGGAGUGUGUUCAGGUGGAAUAGAGAGUGUUCAGAACAAGUGGAGUGUGUUCAGGUGGAAUAGAGUGUUCAGAUCGAGUGGAGUGUGUUAAGGUGGAAUAGAGAGUGUUCAGAUCGAGUGAAGUGUGUAAAGGCGAAAUUGAGAGUGUUCAGAUUUAGUGGAGUGUGUUAAGGUGGAAUAGAGAGUGUUCAGAUCCAGUGAAGUGUGUUCAGGUGGAAUAUAGAGUGUUCAGAUCGAGUGGAGUGUGUUCAGGUGGAAUAGAGAGUGUUCAGAUUGAGUGGAGUGUGUUCAGGUGGAAUAGAGAGUGUUCAGAUCGAGUGGAGUGUGUUCAGGUGGAAUAGAGAGUGUUCAGAUCGAGUGAAGUGUGUUAAGGUGGAAUAGAGAGUGUUCAGAUCGAGUGGAGUGUGUUAAUGUGGAAUAGAGAGUGUUCAGAUCGAGUGAAGUGUGUUAAGGUGGAAUAGAGUGUGUACAGAUUGAGUGGAGUGUGUUCAGGUGGAAUAGAGAGUGUUCAGAUUGAGUGGAGUGUGUUAAGGUGAAAUAGAGAGUGUUCAGAUUGAGUGGAGUGUGUUCAGGUGGAAUAGAGAGUGUUCAGAUUGAGUGGAGUGUGUUCAGGUGGAAUAGAGAGUGUUCAGAUUGAGUGGAGUGUGUUAAGGUGGAAUAGAGAGUGUUCAGAUCGAGUGGAGUGUGUUAAGGUGGAAUAUAGAGUGUUCAGAUCGUGUGGAGUGUGUUAAUGUGGAAUAGAGAGUGUUCAGAUCGAGUGGAGUGUGUUAAUGUGGAAUAGAGAGUGUUCAGAUUGAGUGGAGUGUGUUAAUGUGGAAUAGAGAGUGUUCAGAUUGAGUGGAGUGUGUUCAGGUGGAAUAGAGAGUGUUCAGAUUGAGUGGAGUGUGUUAAGGUGGAAUAGAGAGUGUUCAGAUCGAGUGGAGUGUGUUAAGGUGGAAUAGAGAGUGUUCAGAUCGAGUGGAGUGCGUUCAGGUGUAGAAUAUUGCUAAAAUGAAAAAAAAUGAUCACGGUAUAAUAAAAUUCAUGUAUUAUAUGUGUUACGCUUAAUCUAGUAAGCUCAGGUUAAAUAGUGUGUGAAAAUAGUAUGUUCAGGUGCUGCUCAUUCCAUUCUCAGAGACCUGUAACUCAAGCCUUCUCUAACAAACCCAAACUUUGUUUAAUAAUCCAAAACCUUGUUUAACAAACCCAAACCUUCUCCACCAAACCCAUCCCUUUUCUAACAAACCCAAACAUUCUGCAACAACCCAAACCUUCUCCACCAAACCCAUCCCUUUUCUAACAAACCCAAACAUUCUGCAACAAACCCAAACCUUCUCCACCAAACCCACACCUUCUCUUACAAACCCAAACUUUCUGCAACAAACCCAAACCUUCUCCACCAAACCCACACCUUCUCUUACAAACCCAAACUUUCUGCAACAAACCCUUCCCUUUUCCAACAAACCCAAACCUUCACUAAUAAUAACAAACCUUUUCUCUAACAAACCCAAACUUUGUUCUAUAAUCCCAAACCUUUUCUCCAACAAACCCAAACCUUCACUAAUAAUAACAAACCUUUUCUCUAACAAACCCAAACUUUGUUCUAUAAUCCCAAACCUUUUCUCCAACAAACCCAAACCUUCACUAAUAAUAACAAACCUUUUCUCUAACAAACCCAAACUUUCAGUAAUACAAUCACUUUCGAGUUUCCGGCGCUGACGAGAUCUAUC